rnacentral:rRNA from 1 species
GACGAACGCUGGCGGCGUGCUUAACACAUGCAAGUCGAACGGAAAGGCCCUGCUUUUGUGGGGUGCUCGAGUGGCGAACGGGUGAGUAACACGUGAGUAACCUGCCCUUGACUUUGGGAUAACUUCAGGAAACUGGGGCUAAUACCGGAUAGGAUCUCCUGCUGCAUGGUGGGGGUUGGAAAGUUUCGGCGGUUGGGGAUGGACUCGCGGCUUAUCAGCUUGUUGGUGGGGUAGUGGCUUACCAAGGCUUUGACGGGUAGCCGGCCUGAGUGGGUGACCGGCCACAUUGGGACUGAGAUACGGCCCAGACUCCUACGGGAGGCAGCAGUGGGGAAUAUUGCACAAUGGGCGGAAGCCUGAUGCAGCAACGCCGCGUGCGGGAUGACGGCCUUCGGGUUGUAAACCGCUUUCGCCUGUGACGAAGCGUGAGUGACGGUAAUGGGUAAAGAAGCACCGGCUAACUACGUG